AGUAAUGUGAAGUUGCAGCAGGUUCAACAAAGAAUAUAUAUUUGUAUGUAUCUUGUAAGAUGCCCAUCUAAACAUUAGCUAAAAGUAUAUGCUAAUGGUUAAGGUGGGAAAAAUUCACGAGCUAUUCCAGAUUCUAUUACCACACAUCUAAACAAAUCCAUUUACUCCAAUACCCGCUAAAUCAGG
rnacentral:lncRNA from 1 species